UGCAAGUCGAACGAUUAAAGCUCUCUUCGGAGAGUGCAUAGAGUGGCGCACGGGUGAGUAACACGUAAGUAAUCUACCUUCGAGUGGGGAAUAACGUUCGGAAACGGACGCUAAUACCGCAUAAUGCAGCGGCAUCGCGAGAUGACAGUUGUUAAAGGAGCAAUUCGCUUGAAGAGGAGCUUGCGGCAGAUUAGCUAGUUGGUAAGGUAAUGGCUUACCAAGGCUACGAUCUGUAUCCGGUCUAAGAGGACGGUCGGACACACUGACACUGAAUAACGGGUCAGACUCCUACGGGAGGCAGCAGUCGGGGAUUUUGGGCAAUGGGGGAAACCCUGACCCAGCAACGCCGCGUGAAGGAUGAAGUUUUUCGGAAUGUAAACUUCGAAAGAAUAGGAAGAAUCAAUGACGGUACUAUUUAUAAGGUCCGGCUAACUACGUGCCAGCAGCCGCGGUAAUACGUAGGGACCAAGCGUUGUUCGGAUUUACUGGGCGUAAAGGGCGCGUAGGCGGCGUGGUAAGUCACUUGUGAAAUCUCUGAGCUCAACUCAGAACGGCCAAGUGAUACUGCUGUGCUAGAGUGCAGAAGGGGCAAUCGGAAUUCUUGGUGUAGCGGUGAAAUGCGUAGAUAUCAAGAGGAACACCUGAGGUGAAGACGGGUUGCUGGGCUGACACUGACGCUGAGGCGCGAAAGCCAGGGGAGCAAACGGGAUUAGAUACCCCGGUAGUCCUGGCCCUAAACGAUGAAUACUUGGUGUCUGGAGUUUUUAGUGCUCCGGGUGCCGUCGCUAACGUUUUAAGUAUUCCGCCUGGGGAGUACGCACGCAAGUGUGAAACUCAAAGGAAUUGACGGGGACCCGCACAAGCGGUGGAGCAUGUGGUUUAAUUCG
rnacentral:rRNA from 1 species